AGUGAACGCUGGCGGCAGGCCUAACACAUGCAAGUCGAACGGCAACAGGAUGAAGCCUGCUUCUUUGCUGAGGCGUGGCGGAGGCGUGUGUGAUGUACGUGGAACUGCCCGAUGGCGGGGGGGAACACGUGGAAACGGUUACUAUAACAGCGUAUACUACCUACGGCAGAGAGCAGGGGCUUCGCGCCCCUUGCCCGCGUGUGUGCGCCGAUGGGGGAUUCGCUAGUAGGCGGGGUAAAGGCCCACCGAGGCGACGAUCCGUAGCUGGUCUGAGAGGAUGAUCAGCCACACUGGAACUGAGACACGGUCCAGACUCCUACGGGAGGCAGCAGUGGGGAAUAUUGCACAAUGGGCGCAAGCCUGAUCCAGCCAUACCGCGUGUAUGAAGAAGGCCUUCGGGUUGUAAAGCCCUUUUGUCGGGAAGGAAGGGAAUAAAGUUAAUACCUUGCUUUAUUGACGUUACCCGCAGAAGAAGCACCGGCUAACUUCGUG
rnacentral:rRNA from 1 species